rfam:Dipodomys ordii contig_73258, whole genome shotgun sequence.
GGUGGCUCAGUGGUAGAGUGAUUGCCUCAUAUGCAUGAGGCCCUGGGUUCAAUUCCUCAGCACCA